UGUAAGCGUAUACCAAAGUUGUUGCAGUUAAAACGCUCGUAGUCGGAAUUUGGCAGUUCCGGAUGUGUGCACGUCGUGUGCGCACUUCGCGGGGAUUGCUUUUGUGGUCUUGCGUAGGAUGAGGCACUUUUAUUAGUGAACGUCCUCACGCAACCACUUUUUACUGUGAGAAAAUCAGAGUGCUCAAAGCAGGCAUUUGCCGUGAAUGUAUUAGCAUGGAAUAAUAGAAUAGGACUUGGUUCUAUUUUGUUGGUUUGUUGGGACUGAGUAAUGAUUAAGAGGGACAGUUGGGGGCAUUUGUAUUUCGGUGCUAGAGGUGAUAUUCUUAGAUUACCGAAAGACAAACUGCUGCGAAAGCGUCUGCCAAGGAUGUUUUCAUUGA
rnacentral:rRNA from 1 species